ACUGCUUUCUAGGAUCUCUUUCUUCUUUGGAGAUACAAUAGCUUUACAAAGAUCCAAUAUAAAACUCCUUGGGAUAAAAAUAGUCCAAGGAAAGCUUUUCUCCACAGCAUAAACUAUACACUUUUGGAAAACUUCAGUUCUUUUUAUCAGAUAUAUGUGUAAUUUAUUCAUAAAGUCCUUGUAUCCACCAACCUGGCGUACGACUUUAUAGAAAACAUCCAGUGUUCCUUUAUAUCUAUUACAUUUUGGAGCUGGUUCAGAGCCUGGAACUGCACACGUGCAUGAUGGAGAAUUUCUCAUAUCUGGAAGCAUCUACAGAAACAAUUUGAAAGACAGCACUCGUCACAAGAUCAUAUAACAUAGAGCAAUAAGAAUAGUAAUGUCUAUGCAUAAUGAUCAUAACAGAAAAGAGAAUUCAUCUAUCACAUUUAUCAUUCCAACCCUCUCAAAAUACUAAUUGAAGGAAAUGAGGAGACAAAUUUAACAAAAGCAAACCAAGGGGGAAAACCAGAGGAAAGCAAAACAGAUGACAUGCAUUUUUAAA
rnacentral:lncRNA from 1 species